rnacentral:rRNA from 1 species
UAGGGAAUCUUCGGCAAUGGGGGCAACCCUGACCGAGCAACGCCGCGUGAGUGAAGAAGGUUUUCGGAUCGUAAAGCUCUGUUGUAAGUCAAGAACGGGUGUGAGAGUGGAAAGUUCACACUGUGACGGUAGCUUACCAGAAAGGGACGGCUAACUACGUGCCAGCAGCCGCGGCAAUACGUAGGUCCCGAGCGUUGUCCGGAUUUAUUGGGCGUAAAGCGAGCGCAGGCGGUUUGAUAAGUCUGAAGUUAAAGGCUGUGGCUCAACCAUAGUUCGCUUUGGAAACUGUCAAACUUGAGUGCAGAAGGGGAGAGUGGAACUCCAUGUGUAGCGGUGAAAUGCGUAGAUAUAUGGAGGAACACCGGUGGCGAAAGCGGCUCUCUGGUCUGUAACUGACGCUGAGGCUCGAAAGCGUGGGGAGCGAACAGGAUUAGAUACCCUGGUAGUCCACGCCGUAAACGAUGAGUGCUAGGUGUUGG